rfam:Triticum aestivum genome assembly, contig: Triticum_aestivum_CS42_TGACv1_scaffold_542643_6DS
UUCAUACUUCCUCCGUUCGGAAAUACUUAUCCGAAAAAUGGAUAUAUCUAAAUGUAUUUUAGUUUUAGAUACAUCUAUUUGUAUCCAUUUCUACGACAAGUAUUUUCGGACGAAGGAAAUAAUAU